UUGGAAUCGCGUUACAGGCGCUCACGCUCACAGGGAAAUCCACCGUGUGAAUGCGUCUCCUGUGUGAUGCGUUUGUAACAGCACCAUAUUUAACGUCUUAAUUGAGGGCAGAAUUAUGCAAAUGAGGGGAUUUUAUUCUAUUUCCCCGUGAGGGAGUUUUUUUAAUCUCAUUUAGAGAUGUUUACAGAGUUUUCAAGGUUUUUCCCAAAGAAAGACAUCUCCACCUAUUGUACAUGUGCUGAGAAAAAAGUUAAUUGAAUUAAAGUGGGACUCUGGACAAAAUCUGCUUAGUCAUAAUGAUGUGUUACUGACACUGAUAUGUGGAUGUGUCACUCAGUGCCGGUGCUUUCAGUGUUUGAUGGAGCUUAUGAGCGUUUCUGUGUUGAUGUUCUCGCUCUCGUCAGCUGGACUCUGCACAGCGGCGUCCUCCUGUUCACACAUGGUGUCUGCUCCAUUCUUCGUCCGUCCUUUCUCACACUUGCAGCCGUCACACACCGUGUCCCAGGCGUUGAUAUUUCAGCGCUGAACAUCAUCACAUGUUCACCAUUUGGAGCAGUGUUUGCUUUGGACCUCAGCUCACGGCAGACGCUGCAUAAACUGUCAGAAACUACUGAAUCCUGUUCACCAGAGCUUUUUCCUUCUGAGCACAUUUUGUCAUUAUUAGUUUAUUUUAGGUUACUCUUUAAUUGAGUGUUGUGACAAUAAAUCCCAAGUUUAUUUAUUUAUCUUGUUGCUAUGAUGAAUGUGCAGUUGCAUGUUUUAACCACUGGAGGUCGCUGUAAUCCACGCCUUUCGUUUCAUUAACGUCCCCAGUGAUUAACAAUGACAGUUAGAGGUUUCCAGCAUGUUAAACGCACUCGACUUGUUCAGGCUACGCUCACACGCAAAUCAGCAAAGUGUCAGAAACAAAACUACAGAGUCUGAUCGGUGCUCGACAACCGGACAAAUCCCACGGUUGACAAGCGGCAUCCUGUGUAGCAGGUGCAGUUUGAACAAAGCUGAAGACCUGCUGACCUGAACCUGUUCCGUCCACCCUGUAGCGACGCCUAGCGUGGUGCAGGUCCGCGUAGCUGAGCAGAACCCUCCGGUUCCACCUGGAGGGAACCAGGCUACUCUCUACACUCAUGUGAUGCCAUGGCUUGUUGCCAGCGCUAAUUUCCUGUCGGCCUCACAUCUCCUCUGCCACCAAUCACUGUCCUAUGAGCAGCGCCAGCUGUUGUCAGAGGAUGUUUUCCUGGAGGGUGAUGGAUUAAAAGAAACCUUCAUAAACUUUUCCUUCUCUCAUCUUGAAGCAGCUCAAUAAAAGCUCCAUGCAGCUACUGUGGACGUGUUUUAGUGGAGAGAGGUCCAGACUCUGUGUCAGGCUCAUCUUUGUAUGAUUUAAACUUUGUUGGCUGAAACCAACAUGAUCAUGACGUUUUCAAAAGGAAAAUGAAUCUCAUAUAAAACGGUGCAAAUGUUGUUUUUCUGUUGGUUUUGGCUGUGAACUCGCUCAAUGACCACUCAGGGACUGUUGGUGGUCCCUCCAACCGCAACACGAGCAGCUCACACGUCACUCGGAGACUGAUAAAAACACGACAGACGUUCAGGCUGUUGAGAAGCGAAUAGAACCUAAGUGUAAACUAGACUUAAGAUUUACGUUGAAACACUGACGCUAGAUUGUAGAGAUAAAUGGACGUCACAUUUAAAGCUGCGUUUUCUGAGCGUCGGCCCAUAAAUGAGAAUAAGGGAGACUAGCAGCUUAAAGUUCAUGUUCAGCUUCAGCAGUGGUGUUCUAUUAACGAGCCCAUUCACAUUCAUCAGCAGACUUGUGUUGCGACCACGACUCGCUGUAAAACUCGCUGUUAUUUAAUAUCUCACCCAGAAAUGUUUCCACAGUUGAAAUGAACGAGCGCAUCGAGAGCUGCGGACUUGUUCUCUCUCUCUGUAUUAGAGUUUGGUAGCAGCCAGUUUAAAGUCUGUCAUCCAGGCCCGGCGUCGCUCUCGGCUGCGGCUCCGUCCUGAGGACAGCAUGUGUGAAGAGACAUUAGGAAUGAGCAGCUUCUGUCAGUUGCUGCCACACUGAGCGCCUAAUGAGCAGAAAUAGCUCUCCUGCUAUUUUCUCCGCGUCUCAGCCCAUUUUAUCGAUACGCAGCGGAGUGAGGCGGCACGUCGCUAUGGCAACAGCAGGCAAGGACGAUGAGCAGGGGUGUCUGUGGGCAGGAGAGAGGCCUCCCCUGAGUAACGGGGCGCGUGUGUGUUUGCAUUAGGAAUCCUGAUGUCAGAGCUCAGUUCCGCCUUUAGCUGCAUAUGAAUGCAGAAAAUAGAGACAGCACAGUUUAAUGGUUUGCUAAAUGUCUUUCACAGCUAAUUUUAUGUGUUUUCUUAGUGACUGACUUUCUAACUGGUUUUCUGUUUUGCUGUUUGGUCUCUGAUGGAGGAACAGUCCGCCUCAGGCUACUGAGCCCCCUGCAUUUGAACCCAUCACAUCAGAGAGAGAAGACAGAGGACAGAAUCAGCUGAUGUCAAGUGAAGAGUGAAAAUGUCUUGAAUGCUCGACUUGAAGGGCCGGAAUAAACGUUGUUGCUGUCUGAAUGAAAUGGUCGCACUGGUUGACCAGUCCGACUGGUCCUCAUUCGUCCAGAGCCGCCGCAGUGCGUUGCUCAGGCUCUAAUCACAGUGUGGUUUAGAAGCAGAGCCCUGGGUGGAGGUGCAGUCGCGCCUCACAGCUGCUGGGAUGAUCUAUCUAUCAGGGAGCCUCUGCAUAUGAUGAGCUUGUUCUGAAAGACGCGGGUCCCAUUUGAUUUUAGAGAAGGUUUUGAACCUGAAGAAGCUCCUGGUUGUGGAAUGGGAGUAAAGUCAGGAUUUUUAAGGCGUUGCCGUGGGAGACGUCAGAGAUUUAUUUUGUGUGAUACGAGGACGGCAGCAAACGGUACAGAAGUUACCUCAGCUUGAAAGUCAAAGAAAGACUGGAACAUUCUUUACUCUGGAAUCGAGCAGUCGCUGCCAAGUUCGGUCCUUUCCAUCGACCGAUCGUGUCUGAGGAGCAGAGCCGAUUGAAGGCAGCUAUGAAAGCAUUGGACGGCUUCCAGUUUACGGUGAGGGCUGUGGGCAGCGCUGGGACCCGGCCAGCAGCCGCCUGGGCCCGGCUCCAGAAUCAGGUCCAAACCUGCUUCAGUCCAAACGGAGACCCCCCGCUGAGCGCAGCCCUCAUUGAACUCCUGAAAUGGAGAGAUCCCGUAAUUUAAUGACGCGUUUCCUGAAGAUGACGCUCUGAAUGCUGUAAUGCUGAACCUCUGUGAAUGAACCGACCCGUUGUUGGUGCUGGACCAACCCGGACCUCAGAGAUGCAUCUGAGCUGCUGCAGCCUUCAGACCUCCGUUGGUUGAUGGUGCGAGCCGAAGGCCGGAAUGGAAAGAACUCAACGGAUGAAGCGCUCAUCGCUCUCAGCGGCCACAAACAUGCUGACGUGUGUGUGUGUGUGUGUGUGUGUGUGUGUGUGUGUGUGUGUGUGUGUGUGUGUGUGUGUGUGUGUGUGUGUGUGUGUGUGUGUGUGUGUGUGAGACUUGCUGGAGUGUGUAAGUGUGUGUGUGGAGGGAAGGCGCUGGCAGCGAUGCUGAUGUGAUCUGACAGGACUUAGGCUCGUAGGUGCUGGAGGCCACUGCAGCUCCCAGUGCAGACCAGCUCCA